GCGCGAAAACUUUACAAUGCUGGCAACAGCGAUAAGGGGACCUCGAGUGCCAGGUUACAAAUCUGGCUGUCGUAAUGCCUAAAAAGCAUUUCAUAGCAAGGGCCGGGCAAGACCGGUGCCAGCCGCCGCGGUAACACCGGCGGCUCGAGUGGUAACCGUUAUUAUUGGGUCUAAAGGGUCUGUAGCCGGCCGGAUAAGUCUCUUGAGAAAUCUGGCAGCUUAACUGUCAGGCUUACAGGAGAUACUGUCUGGCUCGAGGCCGGGAGAGGUGAGAGGUACUUCAGGGGUAGGGGUGAAACCUUGUAAUCCUUGAAGGACCACCAGUGGCGAAGGCGUCUCACCAGAACGGACCUGACGGCAAGGGACGAAAGCUAGGGGCACGAACC
rnacentral:rRNA from 1 species